GCUGGCGGCGUGCUUAACACAUGCAAGUCGAACGAGAACAUGCAGUAGCAAUACUGUGAUGCCAAGUGGCGCACGGGUGAGUAAUGUAUAGGUAACAUGCCCUUAAGAGGGGGAUAACAGAGGGAAACCUCUGCUAAUACCCCAUAACCCUUCUUAUCAUAAGAUAAGUUGGCAAAGUUUUUUCGCUUAAGGAUUGGCCUGUAUAGUAUCAGCUUGUUGGUGAGGUAAUGGCUCACCAAGGCUAUGACGCUUAACUGGUCUGAGAGGAUGAUCAGUCACACUGGAACUGAGACACGGUCCAGACUCCUACGGGAGGCAGCAGUGGGGAAUAUUGCACAAUGGGGGAAACCCUGAUGCAGCAACGCCGCGUGGAGGAUGACACUUUUCGGAGCGUAAACUCCUUUUCUGUUAGAAGAUAAUGACGGUAUAACAGGAAUAAGCACCGGCUAACUCCGUGCCAGCAGCCGCGGUAAUACGGAGGGUGCAAGCGUUACUCGGAAUCACUGGGCGUAAAGAGCGUGUAGGCUGUUUAGCAAGUCAGAAGUGAAAUCCUAUAGCUCAACUAUAGAACUGCUUUUGAAACUGCUUAACUUAGAGUGUGGGAGAGGCAGAUGGAAUUUCUGG
rnacentral:rRNA from 1 species